ACCAUCCAAAAGCUUCAUGGAAAAAUGAUUGAAAAAACCCUCAAGUUACAAAGGGUUUCACUGCUGAGAGACAGAGAACAGCAAAAAGGUACAUUGGAGGACAAGGACUAAGCAGUAGCUGCUUUUGUGGGUCUGUCUUUCCGGGACUUAGACUGCAGGACCCAGGCUCCACAGGAUCCCCCAUCCAGAGUUACCUCCUCAAGCACAGGGCAGCUGCAACCAUUCUUCAAAGGAACUGAUCAGAGCUCGCUGCUCUCUUUUGAAGGGUCUGCUUUCCUCCAGUUCUUUAUGGAGACUGUAAAGGUGGAUGCUGUGCUUGGGAGUUUGAGACUUUCCUUACAGAAGCGCCCUGUGGCCUGACUCCUUUCUUGGGGAAAAAUGUCACUGGAUUUGCAAGCUGAACGGAAAGCUCUUGUAGCAGUGAUGCAAAGCGAUGCCAUAACCUCUCCUGAAACAAGCUAAAGAUUUUUAUGGAACUUUUUAGGGUUUUUUUUUUUUGUUGUUUUUUUCUUUAAAGCAGGAGAGAAUAAUUUAAAACAGUCUGGCAAAAGGAUGUUAUCAAGGUAUUUCUUAAGGUUUCCAAGGCAGGAAAUACCUAUGGGACCAUUCAAGACAGGGAUCUCUUUAAAAUACUUUCUGUGGACUAUUGUAUAUCAGGGGAAGAAAAGCAAAGCAGUAACCAGGAACUGAGUUUUGUUUUCACCAUCCUCAUCUUCAUAAUCACUAAAGAACAUCAGAUUGCACCUAAGCAAUCUACCUCAAUUUUGCAAAGGGGAUCCAGCUCAUGCCGCAGAUGACUGGUGGUGCUGAAAGUCACAGCUGAAACUGCAACUUGCCCACCAGAGGCAGAGUGAAGAUGGAUCAUCUCUGGUGGCAGCAGGGAAGCUGUAGUGAUAUGGUGAUGGGCUGUGACUCCGUGGUUCAUUAGAGAACAGCUGGAUGAGGAUCCUUUCCAGUGAGGGGAGGCAGCAGCUCUUGGUUUUCCCCCUCCCCAGCAAAGGGAAGUGGCUGCAAACCCAGGUAGGACAGGGACAGCACCUCUGCAACUGACUCUGACCUUCCCUGUGGACUUGCUCACUUGGAGAGACAUCAAAGUAGGCUUAGCUUUCUGCUGCAGCAGAGAAGUCAGAUUUCCAAAUCACAAGUUAUCUUUUAUUAAAAAUGUAAUAUUCCUUGUGGCCGGUGCUGAUGUACCCAUGAGCAUCCUCAUAGGCACAUAUUAUGUUUCCACCCUGAGACCAGGAGACGUGAUGUAUGCACUCAGUCUGGAAAGUAUUGCAUAUAUAGCAUGGGACAGAAAUUAUGCCAGUACCUCAUUACACAUGGUUCUCCUACAGCUAUCCAGAACAAACUACUUUAAAAACACCAAAAAACCCAAACUAUGUAUACUUAUACUCCUGUAUUGUUUUUCCUCACAUUUUCCUGCAGUUUCCUUAUGGUUUUGAUAAACUCUUCGUGUUUUGAGAGUAGUACUGUAUCAUGGGUUAAAGUCUUUGUGUGAGAAGCUAAGUGCUUUAAGGCUGCCUGUGAGGCUCAGAAAGAAGGCUGGAAUGAGAGGCUUGGGGUACAUCUUAGUUAUGGGAAUCACAAAAUUCUUGCCUGUGUCUGGUGGAGAAGAGUUCUCAAGGGCAUGGAUGCAAUAAUACUGGGGAAUUGCCAACAGCAUAACUCUGACUUAGAGAUGUGAAUGUUUGCUUAAACUUUCUCCAAGGGAGGAAAUAGUGUUCAAAAGUACACACAGCUUAUUUCCAUGCUUUUUUGUCAAGAAUGGAAUUCCUCUAGGAUAGGAAAUUGAACAUAACAGCUGUUUGUGUAAAUUAGUUAAUACAGGUUUUUUAUAAAAAAAAUCAACACUUUUAGAAAAUCAUAAUAUGGAUUUAAUAGACAGUUGUUGAAGGAAGCAUGAGUAUGGCAACAUUAGCUAUAUUCAAGCUGCUUGAAGG